rnacentral:rRNA from 1 species
AUACGGAGGGUCCGAACGUUAAUCGGAAUUACUGGGCGUAAAGCGCGCGUAGGCGGUUCGGUAAGUGGGAUUUGAAAGCCCCGGGCUCAACCUGGGAAUUGCAUUCCAAACUGCCGGACUAGAGUAUGGUAGAGGGAGGUAGAAUUUCCUGUAUAGCUGUGAAAUGCGUAGAUAUAGGAAGGAAUACCGGUGGCGAAGGCGGUCUCCUGGACCAAUACUGACGCUGAGGUGCGAAAGCGUGGGGAGCAAACAGGAUUAGAAACCCCGGUAGUCC